AUUCUUAGAGAUACUCUAUAUAAUCCUUUAUAUAGCCAAUACAUUACAUACUGUUUAGUUUAAGAUAUAAUA
rnacentral:tRNA from 1 species